rnacentral:tRNA from 1 species
GGGGUUGUGGCUCAGUGGUAGAGCAUUUGCCUAGCAUGCAUGAGGCACUGGGUUCAAUCCACAGCAUCACAU